GGGAAGAGAGUGAUAAGGUAUCUGCUUGGCAUUCAGAAGGUCCCAGGUUCAAUCCCUGGCAUCCCCA
rnacentral:tRNA from 1 species